UGCAACAUAAGCGGAGGAAAAGAAACCAACAGGGAUUGCCUCAGUAACGGCGAGUGAAGCGGCAAAAGCUCAAAUUUGAAAUCUGGUACCUUUGGUGCCCGAGUUGUAAUUUGAAGAUAGUUUUCUGGUGCUGGCCCUUGUCUAUGUUCCUUGGAACAGGACGUCACAGAGGGUGAGAAUCCCGUCUGGCGGGGUGUCCAGUGCUUUGUAGAUUUCUAUCGACGAGUCGAGUUGUUUGGGAAUGCAGCUCUAAGUGGGUGGUAAAUUCCAUCUAAAGCUAAAUAUUGGCGAGAGACCGAUAGCGAACAAGUACAGUGAUGGAAAGAUGAAAAGAACUUUGAAAAGAGAGUGAAAAAGUACGUGAAAUUGUUGAAAGGGAAGGGUAUUAGAUCAGACUUGGUGUUUUGUGAUUAUCUUCCCUUCUUGGGUUGUGCACUCGCAUUUCACUGGGCCAGCAUCGGUUCGGGUGGUAAGAUAAUGACAUUGGAACGUGGCACUGCCUUCGGGUGGUGUGUUAUAGCCCUUGUUGAUGUUGCCUACCUGGACCGAGGACUGCGGCUUUUGCCUAGGAUGCUGGCGUAAUGAUCUAACACCGCCCGUCUUGAACGGACCA
rnacentral:rRNA from 1 species